UACGAAGGGGGCUAGCGUUGCUCGGAAUCACUGGGCGUAAAGCGCACGUAGGCGGAUUGUUGAAGUCAGGGGUGAAAUCCUGGAGCUCAACUCCAGAACUGCCUUUGAUACUGGCGAUCUCGAGUCCGGGAGAGGUGAGUGGAACUGCGAGUGUAGAGGUGAAAUUCGUAGAUAUUCGCAAGAACACCAGUGGCGAAGGCGGCUCACUGGCCCGGUACUGACGCUGAGGUGACGAAAGCGGUGGGAGCAACAGGA
rnacentral:rRNA from 1 species